CGGUACUGUUAUGUUAUAUAUAUUUUUUUAAAUCACAGCGAUUUAUUCGCUCGUUUCGCUUGUUUGCUUCCCACGCGUCCUGUCCUUUGAUUCAUACGCGAAUGAAGCGGCAUUACGUUACAGGUCAUUUAGCUGACGCUUUUAUCCAAAGUGACUUAUGUCACAGGCCGGCUCAUAGCCUGUGGCAAAAAUGUGGGGACACGAACAAAAGGUAUAGGCCAAUCAAAAAGGUUUUCUUUAUUGUAAACCAAAACUAUUAACUUUAAACAAAGAAAAAGGAAUGAGGUGUGAAAAUGUCAUAAUGUAAGGUAAAGUGCAGGGAUGCGGGAAUCUGUGUGUGUAAAACUACAAAGGAACAAACAAAACAGGAUCAUACCUGGAGGAGCAGAGAGACAGAGCACGUUGUCAUUUCAGCACGCCCCAAAGGUGACCCGCCACCACCCCCAAAGGUGACCCGCCACCACCCCUGACACCUCCAAUCUACAGCAGAACCUGGCAUAGCAGGAGGGUUAUGCAACUUGGGCUCUACCACCACCACCACCACCACCAGUGUCUGGACUCCCAAGGGGGGGAUAUGCCUCGUCUCGGCUCGAGAUCCCGGCCCCGGGUCUAUUCUGCGGCAGGAUGGAGUCCAAGCCCCAAACAACUUGCAAUAUCAUAUUAUACCUGUUAUAAUAAAGUAUUGUUCAGAUUUCAACAAGUCUCUCCGGAUUGAAAUACCCUGAGCCCAGGUGGCUCCAAUCACCAACCACCCUCCUCUGCCUGCAGUAGGAACCGCCCCUGCCAGGAGAGGAGGGGCCAUGACACUUACAUUACAUUUUGAACCCACAGUUUUUACAUUUGUUGGAUUCGCCAACCUUGCGGUUCCCGG
ensembl:lncRNA